GGAAGGGAACCCGGGGAACUGAAACAUCUAAGUACCCGGAGGAAAAGAAAGAAAACUCGAUUCCGUAAGUAGCGGCGAGCGAACGCGGAGGAGCCUAAACCGGAAUGCGUGCAUUCCGGGGUUACGGACUGCAUUUAAGAUUCUUUGAAGCUAACAGAACGGUUUUGGGAAAGCCGGCCGGAGAGGGUGAAAGCCCCGUACGUGAAAGCUGAUGAGACUGAGCAGGAUCCAGAGUACCACGAGACACGUGGAACCUUGUGGGAAAUCAGGGGGACCACCCCCUAAGGCUAAAUACUACUUAGUGACCGAUAGCGCAUAGUACUGUGAAGGAAAGGUGAAAAGGACCCCGGGAGGGGAGUGAAAGAGAACCUGAAACCCUGUGUCUACAAGCUGUGGAAGCACUUUAUAUGUGCGACCGCGUACUUUUUGUAGAACGGUCCGGCGAGUUACGCUUACUGGCAAGGUUAAGCACUUCAGGUGUGGAGCCGUAGGGAAACCAAGUCUUAAGAGGGCCUUAAGUCAGUAGGAGUAGACCCGAAACCGGGUGAUCUAUCCAUGUCCAGGUUGAAGCUGCCGUAAGAGGUAGUGGAGGACCGAACCCACAUCCGUUGAAAAGGGUGGGGAUGAGGUGUGGAUAGGGGAGAAAUUCCAAUCGAACCCGGAGAUAGCUGGUUCUCCUCGAAAUAGCUUUAGGGCUAGCCUCGAUACAGAUUUGCGGAGGUAGAGCACUGAAUUUCCUAGGGGGCGUCAAAGCCUACCGAAGAAUAUCAAACUCCGAAUGCCGCGUAAUCGAUUAUCGGGAGUCAGACUGCACGAGAUAAGUUGGGCGGUCAAAAGGGAAAGAGCCCAGACCUUCAGUUAAGGUCCCCAAGUGCGCGUUAAGUGGAAAAGGAUGUGGGAUUUCGAAGACAACCAGGAUGUUGGCUCAGAAGCAGCCAUCCAUUCAAAGAGUGCGUAAUAGCUCACUGGUCGAGAGGUCCUGCGCCGAAAAUGUCCGGGGCUGAAACGCGCCACCGAAACUAAGGAACCGAAAGGUUGGUAGAGGAGCAUUGCAUGCGGGAAGAAGCAGUACCGUAAGGAGCUGUGGACUGCAUGGAAGAGAGAAUGCCGGAAUGAGUAGCGAGAAUAAGGUGAGAAUCCUUAUGGCCGAAUAUCCAAGGUUUCCAGAGUAAAGCUGAUCUGCUCUGGGUAAGUCGGGGCCUAAGGCGAGGACGAGAGUCGUAGCCGAUGGACAACAGGUGGAGAUUCCUGUACUGCGGUAUGACAGAACUGUGGGGACACGUAAGGAAAGCGGAAGCCGGGAAUGGAAAGCCCGGUGCAAGCGGGGUACCAGUCACUUUGGCAAAUCCGGGUGGCAAUGGGAAGCCGUGAUGCGGAGCGAAAUAAAGUAGCGAAGUCCGUGAGCCAUGCGUCAAGAAAAGCCGCUAUCGUUUAUACCGUACCCGUACCGUAAACCGACACAGGUGGAUGAGGAGAGAAUCCUAAGGCCGGCGGAAGAAGCAUUGUCAAGGAACUCGGCAAAAUGGCCCCGUAACUUAGGGAUAAGGGGUGCCUGGGAAACCAGGCCGCAGAGAAUAGGCUCAAGCAACUGUUUAGCAAAAACACAGGUCUAUGCGAAACCGAAAGGUGAGGUAUAUGGGCUGACGCCUGCCCGGUGCUGGAAGGUUAAGAGGAGAGGUUAGCGGUAACGCGAAGCUUUGAAUUUAAGCCCCAGUAAACGGCGGCCGUAACUAUAACGGUCCUAAGGUAGCGAAAUUCCUUGUCGGGUAAGUUCCGACC
rnacentral:rRNA from 1 species